UCCGGUUCAUCACCAGCAGUCUCCUUAGAGUCCCCACCAUUACAUGUUGGCAACUAAGGAUAAGGGUUGCGCUCGUUACGGGACUUAACCCAACAUCUCACAACACGAGCUGACGACAGCCAUGCAGCACCUGUCUCUAAGUUCCUUGCGGCACAACUGAAUCUCUCCAGUCUUCUUAGGAUGUCAAGGGUAGGUAAGGUUCUUCGCGUUGCAUCGAAUUAAACCACAUGCUCCACCGCUUGUGCGGGCCCCCGUCAAUUUCUUUGAGUUUUAAUCUUGCGACCGUACUCCCCAGGCGGAAAACUUAUCGCGUUAGCUUCGAUACUAAUAGGUCUUAGCCUACCAACAUCUAGUUUUCAUCGUUUACAGCGUGGACUAC
rnacentral:misc_RNA from 1 species